UCUGCUUCACAAAAUCAGGCUUGACAAGCUGAAAAAUAGGAACAAAUCGGUUUCUACGUACAUAUCGCCCCAUGAUCCCACGUUUCUAUAUCAUACGAUCUUUCUCCUUUUUUUUUUUCAUUCAGUUGCAAAUCGAUGGAAGCAUUAACAGAGAGUGCAGAGAGAAAAGAAAUUGAAAGAGAGAGUUGGAGAUUUCUAAUAGUCUGAAUUGAGAGACGAAUCGAGGGAGAGACGGAAGGCAAAUGCAGUGCGGUGACGGCUCCGUGUGGGCUCGGCGACGGCGGAUAACAGCCGGUGAAUACGGAGCUGAUGGCUGUCCGGUUCGGCAGCAGCUGUCGCGACUCACGGCGGCGCUGCGAUGCGAGAGAACAGAGAGGGAGCUAUCGGUUGUUUCUUUCGAAGUCUGUUCAAGGUGUUAUCUCGCAAGUGAAUCGUGAUCGCAAGUGAAAGAAUAUAAGUUCGGAUUAAGCACUCGAGGUUGAGCUGUGACGAGCACGGUGGGUGUUGAGCAGAGCUGGUAAAGAUUUGUGUUUGCUUUUAAUAUUCCGAAUAUAUUGUGUCUUCAUAUAUAAUAUUAUUCUUCUCUCGAAAUGCUUCCGCUAAAUAUUGUUUCUUUUGAGUUCGUGUAUUGUUGAGAUAUUUUCAUUUGGAGUUGUUGAUUGUUG